rnacentral:rRNA from 1 species
AACGUAGGUGGCGAGCGUUAUCCGGAUUUACUGGGCGUAAAGGGUGUGCAGGCGGGCUGUUAAGUGGUGUAUGAAAUAUCCCGGCUACAACCGGGAGAGGUUAUGCCAGACUGGCAGUCUAGAGAGCGAGAGAGGGACGUGGAAUUCCGGGUGUAGUGGUGAAAUGCGUAGAGAUCCGGAGGAACCCCAGAGGCGAAGGCGGCGUCCUGGCUCGCAUCUGACGCUCAGACACGACAGCAUGGGGAGCGAACGGG